GGGUGCUUGAGACUGUUUGUCUCAGGUAUUCACCGAAAGGCAGACAGAGAAAAGCCCCACCUGACUAUAAAUCAAAGUGUGUACUGCACCCAUUUUGUUGGACGAUGAAAUGGAAUAGCCCCUAAUAUGUCAAAG
rnacentral:antisense_RNA from 1 species